rnacentral:rRNA from 1 species
CAAUAGCGUAUAUUUAAGUUGUUGCAGUUAAAAAGCUCGUAGUUGGAUUUCGGAUGGGACUUGCCGGUCCGUCGUUUCGAUGUGCACUGGCCAGUCCCAUCUUGUUGUCGGGGACUAGCUCCUGGGCUUCACUGUCCGGGACUAGGAGCUGACGAGGUUACUUUGAGUAAAUUAGAGUGUUCAAAGCAAGCCUACGCUCUGAAUACAUUAGCAUGGAAUAACACGAUAGGACUCUGGCUUAUCUUGUUGGUCUGUGAGACCAGAGUAAUGAUUAAGAGGGACAGUCGGGGGCAUUCGUAUUUCAUUGUCAGAGGUGAAAUUCUUGGAUUUAUGAAAGACGAACUUCUGCGAAAGCAUUUGUCAAGGAUGUUUUCAUUAA